CCCAACACUGGAGCCUACCUGGGCACUUUGGUGGGGCUAAUGGCGGACUCUGGGAGGGCUCACACCAAGGAGUACUUCCCAGAACUUCUGCUGCCAGUGUCCUCGUCCCCAAGGUGAGCCACAGCCAGCCCCCACCUCUGCAGGAGACCCUCCAACACCAGCAGAAACUUGAAUUUUGACGUCUGUGGCCUAAAUCAAUGAACCUCCUCAAAUUAUCACAUUCAAAAGAAAUUGCUGUGCUACCAUGGCUGUUACUUAAUUUCUUUGCUAUUCUGAGAUCUGUCUUUAUGUAUUUAAAAAGAUCAAAUAAGUGGAUAAUGCCAGAGAGACGGGCGCCAUCCUGCAGCCUAAGAGAGAAGCAAUUACACAUUCUUUUGCUCUCCCCUUGAAAUCAACACAGAUAAGAAAAAUACCAUUUUGGCAGCACCUGCUGCUGCUGG